GAUGAACGCUGGCGGCGUGCCUAAUACAUGCAAGUCGAGCGAACGGACGAGAAGCUUGCUUCUCUGAUGUUAGCGGCGGACGGGUGAGUAACACGUGGAUAACCUACCUAUAAGACUGGGAUAACUUCGGGAAACCGGAGCUAAUACCGGAUAAUAUUUUGAACCGCAUGGUUCAAAAGUGUAAGACGGUCUUGCUGUCACUUAUAGAUGGAUCCGCGCUGCAUUAGCUAGUUGGUAAGGUAACGGCUUACCAAGGCAACGAUGCAUAGCCGACCUGAGAGGGUGAUCGGCCACACUGGAACUGAGACACGGCCCAGACUCCUACGGGAGGCAGCAGUAGGGAAUCUUCCGCAAUGGGCGAAAGCCUGACGGAGCAACGCCGCGUGAGUGAUGAAGGUCUUCGGAUCGUAAAACUCUGUUAUUAGGGAAGAACAUAUGUGUAAGUAACUGUGCACAUCUUGACGGUACCUAAUCAGAAAGCCACGGCUAACUACGUG
rnacentral:rRNA from 1 species